AAACAAAAUCGAGAAGUCGCCUUAAAAUCUAAAAGCUAAACUAAAUUACAAUUGUUUCUAUUCUAAACUAAAAAUAAUUAUUAUAAAGUUGGGAAGUUCUUAUUACUACAGUGGUUUAUAUUAGCUAGAUUCCCAACAUAAAUUGUUUCGAGCCUAACCCUAAUUCCCAUCUAACGUAAAAAGCGCACAAUCACGAAAUCGACAGAAAGCUACGAACGACCACAUAAGGGACUAAACGUAAGUCAACUAAUCUAAGAACAAACUAUGAAUCUUAUGAAAGCACUGAUUGUAUAACAUAAACUUAUAUCUAUUAUUACACUACAUAAAUGAAUUAUGAGUAAAUUAUGCUAUUACAAUUAUGUAUAACGUUACCUUUGCCAGGAAAAUUAUAAUUCAGCCGUUGAACAACACCCAGUCUCGUGUUUCAUUGCGGCAAUUAUAGUUACGGA